UGCAAGUCGAACGAUGACCCCCAGCUUGCUGGGGUGAUUAGUGGCGAACGGGUGAGUAACACGUGAGUAACCUGCCCCUGACUCUGGGAUAAGCCCGGGAAACUGGGUCUAAUACUGGAUAUGCACCGUGGACCGCAUGGUCCUUGGUGGAAAGAUUUUUUGGUCAGGGAUGGACUCGCGGCCUAUCAGCUUGUUGGUGAGGUAAUGGCUCACCAAGGCGACGACGGGUAGCCGGCCUGAGAGGGUGACCGGCCACACUGGGACUGAGACACGGCCCAGACUCCUACGGGAGGCAGCAGUGGGGAAUAUUGCACAAUGGGCGAAAGCCUGAUGCAGCGACGCCGCGUGAGGGAUGACGGCCUUCGGGUUGUAAACCUCUUUCAGUAGGGAAGAAGCGAAAGUGACGGUACCUGCAGAAGAAGCGCCGGCUAACUACGUGCCAGCAGCCGCGGUAAUACGUAGGGCGCAAGCGUUAUCCGGAAUUAUUGGGCGUAAAGAGCUCGUAGGCGGUUUGUCGCGUCUGCCGUGAAAGUCCGAGGCUCAACCUCGGAUCUGCGGUGGGUACGGGCAGACUAGAGUGAUGUAGGGGAGACUGGAAUUCCUGGUGUAGCGGUGAAAUGCGCAGAUAUCAGGAGGAACACCGAUGGCGAAGGCAGGUCUCUGGGCAUUAACUGACGCUGAGGAGCGAAAGCAUGGGGAGCGAACAGGAUUAGAUACCCUGGUAGUCCAUGCCGUAAACGUUGGGCACUAGGUGUGGGGGACAUUCCACGUUUUCCGCGCCGUAGCUAAC
rnacentral:rRNA from 1 species